GGCGCAAGCCUGAUGCAGCGACGCCGCGUGAGGGAUGACGGCCUUCGGGUUGUAAACCUCUUUCAGUAGGGAAGAAGCGAAAGUGACGGUACCUGCAGAAGAAGCGCCGGCUAACUACGUGCCAGCAGCCGCGGUAAUACGUAGGGCGCAAGCGUUAUCCGGAAUUAUUGGGCGUAAAGAGCUCGUAGGCGGUUUGUCGCGUCUGCCGUGAAAGUCCGGGGCUCAACUCCGGAUCUGCGGUGGGUACGGGCAGACUAGAGUGAUGUAGGGGAGACUGGAAUUCCUGGUGUAGCGGUGAAAUGCGCAGAUAUCAGGAGGAACACCGAUGGCGAAGGCAGGUCUCUGGGCAUUAACUGACGCUGAGGAGCGAAAGCAUGGGGAGCGAACAGGAUUAGAUACCCUGGUAGUCCAUGCCGUAAACGUUGGGCACUAGGUGUGGGGGACAUUCCACGUUUUCCGCGCCGUAGCUAACGCAUUAAGUGCCCCGCCUGGGGAGUACGGCCGCAAGGCUA
rnacentral:rRNA from 1 species